CAGGCUAGAGCGGCCCCAUCACCGGUUCUGGACUCCCCUUGAGAACAUAGAGAGCUGGCGGACGAGGAGCUGAGAGACUCCAUAAGCCCUUCUGGGUUCUGUGCUAUAGAGCAGAACCAUAGAGAGCUGGUGGAAGAGGAGCUAGAGCGGCAAAGAGGCUUUUCAGCUGAGCAGAGGCCUUGAGAAGGAAGGGCAGGAGGGCUUCCUCUCAGCUGGCAUGUCUGUGCCAUGGAGGGGGAGGAAUAGGGUGACCAGACAUUGCUAAGGCUAUAUCUACCCUACAAUCGGGAUCAAGGCUAUGGGAUCAAUCCACCGGCAGUUGAUUUAGCAGGUCUAGUGAAGACCUGCCACAUCAACAGCAGAUCGCUCUGCAGUUGACCCCUGUACUCUACUCCCAACAACCCCGUGGUAACUCAACCUAAGAAUGAAGAAAAGGCCUCUCUGCUCACUGAAGGAAAUGCACAUGUUUCAAGCAUGCAGCACCCUUUAAAAAAGAAAAAAAAUGCAGUCUCUCACUACUUCAUGUUCCAUGGCCAGAGAACAGGAGGUUCUCGAUCCACACUCACAGAGGAGUCUGCAUUUAUGUAUGGAUUUUACUCAUGCUUUUUGUUGUUGGUCUUUCUUAAAACCAAGUUUUUCUUUCUUAAGGUUUGGAUAUAAAGAAGGGAGGGAAUGCAUAGUUAUUACACCAAAUGCAAGUUUAGCCCACUGUCUUGCUACAAAGUGAUAUGCAACCUGGUUGCCUUUUGAUACCCUCUCCCCACCAGAACACCAGGAUCCUAGCUGUCUGCCAGAUAUCACCAUCCCUUGUCACAGUCACCCCCUCCCGUCCUCAAUGCUCAGUUCUAAUUCUCGGUGGCUGGGACUCCCAUCCAAACCAGUAUUGUAAUCCUGAUGUGCCUCCAACAAAAACACGAUCUAUGUUUUAAAAAUAUAAAUCUUUAACUACUUUUGCCCUUCUUCAGAAGGAACUCAAUUAUUAACUGAAUUUACAACCCUUAAGUGCAGUCUCUGGAUUGUUUCCCUGAGAUAGGUGUAUGAUUAGAAGCCACUUAAAGAGAAGCACUGAAGGGUUAUACCAACUGCUGAAUUAAAGUAAACUGAAUAGCAAACAACGGUUUAGGGUCACCACGCACACAAUUUUUGUGUUUUUGGGUGGGGAGGGGAGGGGAAGAGAGGAAUUUUAGGACUCAUUUAGUGCUGGUUCUAUAAUGUAAUCUAUUGCCUGUUGUAGAGCAUCUUCCUUAUACUAAAAAUGCUUACUUAACCCUUCAUUACCUCUCCUAUCUAAAUCCAGCCCAUGGCUUAGUUCCCCAUUAAGCUGAUAUCCCUUUAGAUACAGGGGUGCGUAUACUGUAUUAUGUUUGCAUUAGGUAUGUGAGUUCACAUAACUCUAUUGGAUGGGAUUUUCAAAUCACUCGGGGACUUUUAGGACCGCCAGUCCCACUGAAAGUCAACAGGACUGGUGCUCCUAAGUCACUUAAGUGAUCCUCCUGUCAUGACUUACACUCAGGAGACGUGUCAAACAAUUACAAGUCAUAUUAGUCCUCUCAAAUUACAUUUUUGAAACACAGUGUUUAAGGACUUUAAUAUCUUUGCCUGUUGUCUUAACCUAUUUGUCCUGUUUUUAAAAUUCUAUAGGCUCACACAAAAAGGGACAGAAGUAGCCUAUCGUAAUGGCCAAGGUAGCCAAGAGCCUUUUCCAGCUGAUUACUAACAGACUGAACAAACUCAUGGUCCAUAACCACGCUUUAAUUGCUUGCUUACAUCAAUCCAAAAAUUUUUGAAUUUGGUGUUAGUUUUUUAAGGUGCGUUGGUAUGCAAGCAAGGAUCUGGGGAAAGAACUAGGCUGGACAGAUUGCAGAGGAGUUACUAAAAAUCUAACAUAUGUGAAGGUGCUACAAGUAACAAACCCAUAAAGUCAUAUGUUCUUAUAUCAA